rnacentral:rRNA from 1 species
UACGUAGGGUCCGAGCGUUGUUCGGAAUUACUGGGCGUAAAGCGCGCGCAGGCGGCUAUCCAAGUCAGUGGUGAAAGCCCGGAGCUCAACUCCGGAACUGCCAUUGAAACUGUUUAGCUUGAGGAUGAGAGAGGUGAGUGGAAUUCCCAGUGUAGAGGUGAAAUUCGUAGAUAUUGGGAAGAACACCGGUGGCGAAGGCGGCUCACUGGCUCAUUACUGACGCUCAGGCGCGAUAGCGUGGGGAUCAAACAGG